rnacentral:rRNA from 1 species
CCUACGGGAGGCAGCAGUGGGGAAUCUUGCGCAAUGGGCGAAAGCCUGACGCAGCAACGCCGCGUGCGGGAAGAAGGCUUUCGGGCUGUAAACCGCUUUCAGCAGGAACGAAAAUGACGGUACCUGCAGAAGAAGGAGCGGCCAACUAUGUGCCAGCAGCCGCGGUGAUACAUAGGCUUCAAGCGUUGUCCGGAUUUAUUGGGCGUAAAGAGUUCGUAGGCGGUCGAGUAAGUCGGGUGUGAAAAUUCUGGGCUCAACCCCAGAGACGCCACCCGAUACUGCUUGACUUGAGUUCGAUAGGGGAGUGGGGAAUUCCUAGUGUAGCGGUGAAAUGCGCAGAUAUUAGGAGGAACACCGGUGGCGAAGGCGCCACUCUGGAUCGAUACUGACGCUGAGGAACGAAAGCAUGGGUAGCAAACAGGAUUAGAUACCCUGGUAGUCCAUGCCGUAAACGGUGGGCACUAGGUGUGGGUUUCUAUUAACGAAAUCCGCGCCGUCGCUAACGCAUUAAGUGCCCCGCCUGGGGAGUACGGUCGCAAGCUAAAACGUCAAAGGAAUUGACGG